CCAGCUCUCCGAGUGGUGGGGAUUCUUAUUUGGCCUAAAGCGUCCGUAGCCUGUUCGGUAAGUCCCCUGUUAAAUCCAACGAUCUAAUCUUUGGGCUGCGGGAGAUACUACAGGACUAGGGGUCGGGAGAAGCCGACGGUACUCUUGGGGUAGGGGUGAAAUCCUAUAAUCCUAUGAGGACCACCAGUGGCGAAGG
rnacentral:rRNA from 1 species